AGAAAUGAAGAUUAAUACCUUAUAGUCUAUAUAUAUAGCAUUAUAUAAAUAGUAAAGCUUCGGUGGUAUAAGAUGAGUAUGCGUCCUAUUAGUUAGUUGGUGAGGUAACGGCUUACCAAGACAACGAUAGGUAGGGGNCCUGNGAGGGGGAUCCCCCACACUGGUACUGAGACACGGACCAGACUCUACGGGAGGCAGCAGUGAGGAAUAUUGGACAAUGGAGGCAACUCUGAUCCAGCCAUGCCGNGUGCAGGAAGACGGCCUAUGGGUUGUAAACUGCUUUUAUAUAGGAAGAAACCUUUUCACGUGUGAGAAGCUGACGGUACUAUAAGAAUAAGGACCGGCUAACUCCGUGCCAGCAGCCGCGGUAAUACGGAGGGUCCGAGCGUUAUCCGGAAUCAUUGGGUUUAAAGGGUCCGUAGGCGGGAAUCUAAGUCAGUGGUGAAAUCUUGCAGCUCAACUGUAAAAUUGCCAUUGAUACUGGAUUUCUUGAAUUAGUGUGAAGUGGUUAGAAUGUGUAGUGUAGCGGUGAAAUGCAUAGAUAUUACACAGAAUACCAAUUGCGAAGGCAGAUCACUAACACUAUAUUGACGCUGAGGGACGAAAGCGUGGGGAGCGAACAGGAUUAGAUACCCUGGUAGUCCACGCCGUAAACGAUGGUCACUAGCUGUUUGACCAACAUUGGUUGGUUGAGUGGCUAAGCGAAAGUUAUAAGUGACCCACCUGGGGGUACGCUNGCAAGAGUGAAACUCNAAGGAAUUGACGGGGGCCGCACAAGCGGUGGAGCAUGUGGUUUAAUUCGAUGAUACGCGAGGAACCUUACCAGGGCUUAAAUGUAAGUUGCAUGGACCAGAGAUGGACCUUUCUUCGGACUGCUUACAAGGUGCUGCAUGGUUGUCGUCAGCUCGUGCCGUGAGGUGUCAGGUUAAGUCCUAUAACGAGCGCAACCCCUAUCGUUAGUUGCCAGCGGGUCAUGCCGGGAACUCUAACGAGACUGCCGGUGCAAACCGUGAGGAAGGUGGGGAUGACGUCAAAUCAUCACGGNCCUUACGUCCUGGGCCACACACGUGCUACAAUGGCCGGUACAGAGAGCAGCCACUCCGCGAGGAGGAGCGGAUCUUCAAAACCGGUCUCAGUUCGGAUCGCAGUCUGCAACUCGACUGCGUGAAGCUGGAAUCGCUAGUAAUCGGAUAUCAGCCAUGAUCCGGUGAAUACGUUCCCGGGCCUUGUACACACCGCCCGUCAAGCCAUGGAAGCUGGGAGUACCUGAAGUCGGUGAGCGCAAGCAGCUGCCUAG
rnacentral:rRNA from 1 species